AACGAACGCUGGCGGCGCGUCUUAAGCAUGCAAGUCGAACGGUAAGGGAGAGCUUGCUCUCCCCUAGAGUGGCGGACUGGUGAGUAACGCGUGGGUGACCUGCCCUGAAGAUGGGGAUAGCUAUAGAAAUAUUAGUAAUACCGAAUGUGCUCAUUACAUAAAGGUAAAUGAGGAAAGGAGCUACGGCUCCGCUUCAGGAUGGGCCCGCGUCCCAUUAGCUGGUUGGUGAGGUAAAGGCCCACCAAGGCAACGAUGGGUACCGGCCUGAGAGGGUGAACGGACACAUUGGGACUGAGAUACGGCCCAAACUCCUACGGGAGGCAGCAGCUAAGAAUCUUCCGCAAUGGACGAAAGUCUGACGGAGCGACGCCGUGUGAUGAAGAAGGCCGAAAGGUUGUAAAAUUCUUUUGCAGAUGAAGAAUAAGAAGAAGAGGGAAUGCUCUUUGAUGACGGUAGUCAUGCGAAUACCCCGGCUAA
rnacentral:rRNA from 1 species